rnacentral:rRNA from 1 species
UCGGAGAGACCACAGGGAUUGCCCUAGUAACGGCGAGUGAAGCGGCAACAGCUCAAAUUUGAAAUCUGGCCCUCUUUGGGGGUCCGAGUUGUAAUUUGUAGAGGAUGCUUUGGCAUUGGCGGCGGUCUAAGUUCCUUGGAACAGGACAUCACAGAGGGUGAGAAUCCCGUACGUGGUCGCCUGCCUUUGCCGUGUAAAGCUCCUUCGACGAGUCGAGUUGUUUGGGAAUGCAGCUCUAAAUGGGAGGUAAAUUUCUUCUAAAGCUAAAUACCGGCCAGAGACCGAUAGCGCACAAGUAGAGUGAUCGAAAGAUGAAAAGUACUUUGGAAAGAGAGUCAAAAAGCACGUGAAAUUGUUGAAAGGGAAGCGCUUGCAGCCAGACUUGCCCGCAGUUGCUCACCUAGGCUUUGGCCUGGGGCACUCUUCUGUGGGCAGGCCAGCAUCAGUUUGGGCGGUUGGAUAAAGGCCUCUGUCACGUAUCUCCCUUCGGGGUGACCUUAUAGGGGAGGCGCAAUGCAACCAGCCCGGACUGAGGUCCGCGCAUCUGCUAGGAUGCUGGCGUAAUGGCUGUAAGCGGCCCGUCUUGAAACACGGACCAAGGAGUCUAACAUCUAUGCGAGUGUUUGGGUGUCAAGCCCGGGCGCGCAAUGAAAGUGAACGGAGGUGGGAACCCUUUGGGUGCACCAUCGACCGAUCCUGAUGUCUUCGGAUGGAUUUGAGUAAGAGCAUAGCUGUUGGGACCCGAAAGAUGGUGAACUAUGCUUGAAUAGGGUGAAGCCAGAGGAAACUCUGGUGGAGGCUCGCAGCGGUUCUGACGUGCAAAUCGAUCGUCAAAUUUGGGCAUA